GAGAAUGGCUUUAGCUCUGUGGUAGAGCAUCUGCUUUGAAUACAGAAGGUUCCAGGUUCAAUCCUCAGCAUCUUCA